rnacentral:rRNA from 1 species
UAACGGCGAGUGAGCGGCAAAAGCUCAAAUUUGAAAUCUGGUACCUUCGGUGCCCGAGUUGUAAUUUGGAGAGGGCAACUUUGGGGCCGUUCCUUGUCUAUGUUCCUUGGAACAGGACGUCAUAGAGGGUGAGAAUCCCGUGUGGCGAGGAGUGCGGUUCUUUGUAAAGUGCCUUCGAAGAGUCGAGUUGUUUGGGAAUGCAGCUCUAAGUGGGUGGUAAAUUCCAUCUAAAGCUAAAUAUUGGCGAGAGACCGAUAGCGAACAAGUACAGUGAUGGAAAGAUGAAAAGAACUUUGAAAAGAGAGUGAAAAAGUACGUGAAAUUGUUGAAAGGGAAGGGCAUUUGAUCAGACAUGGUGUUUUGUGCCCUCUGCUCCUUGUGGGUAGGGGAAUCUCGCAUUUCACUGGGCCAGCAUCAGUUUUGGUGGCAGGAUAAAUCCAUAGGAAUGUAGCUUGCCUCGGUAAGUAUUAUAGCCUGUGGGAAUACUGCCAGCUGGGACUGAGGACUGCGACGUAAGUCAAGGAUGCUGGCAUAAUGGUUAUAUGCCGCCCGUCUUG